GCUGUAGCUCAGUGGUAGAGCAUUUUCUUUGCAUGCAGAACGUCCUAGGUUCAAUCCCCAGCAUCUCCA